ACAGGGAUUAUGGUUAGAUUUCUAUGGUUUGACCCUGUUCCUUACCUCUCUGCAGAAAUGGGGCUGUGAGUGAGAAGAGUCACUGGUAUUGCAAGAUGUAGAGAGUAUCUAAAGUCUUCUCAUUUCUGAAUAGCUCUACCUCUGAUCAUGCCUGAAAUUCCAUUACAAAUCUAUUUCUUGAAGGUGUGUUUUAAUUUGUCGGGGCUGAAAAGGAUACUGAACACUAGUGACCAAGGACUCUCAAAUGCUAUGACUGAGAAGGCAGUAAAGCAAGGACUCUCCCUCAGAAAGAAGCCAUGGAUGUUCUGACACCCCAGGACAAUGCACCUGAGUAGGACCGUGGUGGGCGAAGGGAAAAUGCCUGACACCUGGUAUCUACCCCUCAGGAUGGACUGAUGUUUGCCGAUGCUUUUCCCUGGGGAACAGUCUCCCGCACUUCCAUGGUGGAAUGAAAAACUUGGCCUGAGGUUUUAGCCAUCGUGAACAGGGAGCGAGAGCCAGACCUACCUUGUUCAUAGUUUUCUUCAUAUGAAAUGCGUUGCUUAGCACCUUGUAGGAGCUUCAUUGUAUAUAUGUGGAAUCAUUGAAUCAACAUAAAAGGAAGGAUAAAACUUUGGCGUUGAUAAAAGAAGAGCAACAGCAAAUCCCACCCCCGCCAUUUACUGGCCUGUUAACUUCUCUCUGCCUGAAUUUCCUCAACUGCUAAGUGGGAAGGAUCGUGAUAAUCACAGCAUGUACCUCGCGAUACCUUGAUUUCUCGGGCUGUGCUUCCUGCAACAUGGAGGGUCUGUAACAGCACAGUGCUCAUGAGGGAACUUCAGCCAUGUCUGUCUUGGGCCAUCGCACAGAUGAUUCCUGCAUUUGGGAGCACUUCUUGAGCCAAGCCAUAUGCUCAGCAUCACGGGAGCUUCAUGUGUUCCGUCUGGAACACUGGGAAUAAUGAGAUCCUGAACCGCAAAGGGCAGAGUCCCUGGAAAGCAGCCAUACUUGGUGGAGUGGCCAUUAAUCCCACAGAAAUGAGAGGGGCUGGAUAAAGAGAAGAAAAAAAAGGCUUCUCAUCUUCAGGCUUCUUCAAGGAGAAAAUUUAUGGUCUCUGGACUAGAGGACCUAUGUUCCAGGUAAGCCUCUGUGUGAUCUUGGGUGAGUCAUUUUACCUUUCUGAAUCAUAAUUUCACACCAUACUGCAAGAUUAUUGGGAAGACAUAGAAUAAUGCAUCUGCAAGUGCUUUUGGAACCUAGGAGGUGAUACACACGUGGGAGAAUGAGGGAUACCUGCCUCAGUGGAACUGCUCCCCAGUAGCAUCAGUCAUUCACUUAACAAACAUUCAUGGUAUGCUCAUUAUGUGAAAAUAGAAGAUUAGGUAACCCUUAUCUCCUGUGUUGAGAUGAAAAAGUGGUUAGGGGUUCUGUAGCUCUAUUCCUUGCUCAGGUAUUCUUGCUAUAAAAUAAUAUCUUUAGAUAGCAAUGUGUACCAAAUUUGCAGUAACCCAGUGUCCUGCCGUUAGUUCAUGGUCUUAGUUGGCGAGUGUCAACAUUUCCUUGCUUCUACCCCAUUACCUCCCAAUGAUGUGUGUUGUCAUUGCUGCUUAGUGUUCAGCAUCAAUUUGUGACCUGCGGCCGAUUUUAUUCCAUUCUUAGAGCUUAUCAUUCCCCUCCAGAAAAUGAGAUCAAAUACUUCACAUGACCGAGAUCAAGACCAGUGAAAAGGUUUUGAUGUCUCCCCGGGAGGUGGGAUGGGCAGAGUCAUUUGUCUAUGCAGUUUCCUGUUCGUGCACAACCACCAGACAGGUGCGGAGAGGCAUGCAUUCAUCUUGAUAGGUGGAUGUUGUUUCUGGUUGUGUGAUAAGAGUGGAUAGGAUGGGAAGGCAAACCGUUCUCAGCCUUACACAUGGAGAACAUGGUCUGGUUUCAAAUGAAAUGCCCUCAGCUUUCUGCUGUGAUAAAUUAUAUCCAUAUAAUGUCACCAUCUCUCAGGUCAUAGGUGAUAAACUAAUUAAUGCUGUCUCAGUGGUGGAAACUCUAUAUUGAGCUCGGAAUCCAGAAGUCUCUUGCUUGAAAUAGAAAACCUUGUUAAGGGCUCUUUUUCUACAGUAGGCCGUGGAUAGCUGGUAUGUCAUGCCAGACUGGCAUGUCCAAGAUCGGCUGGAGAGCGGGCUCUGGAGAUGCUGGGAUGUGAUCAUUCAGGGACAAAAAGGUUUAGUUUUAAAAAGGAGAACUCAGAGUGCCUGGGUGGCUCAGUCGGUUAACCAUCCGACUCUUGAUUUCGGCUAAGGUCAUGAUCUCACGGUUCUUGGGUUCAAGCCCCACAUAGGGCUCUGUGCUGACAGAGUGGAGUCUGCUUGGGAUUCUCUGUCUCUCCCUCUCUCUCUCUACCCCUCCCCUGCUCAUUUUCUCUCUCUCUCUCUCUCUCUCUCUCUCAAAAUAAAUAAAUAAACUUAAAAAAAUAUAAAAAGGAGAACUGAAAAUAGAGACCACAAAGAUCCAGUGACUUUGAACAUAAGUGCCUUUAAAUUGAAUGUAAAUGUUAAAAGAAAAUACAAAUAAAUAUUCACCAUUGAGUGGUUUACAAAGAGUGAACUCUUAACUGGGUGGGUUGAGAGGGAGCUGAGAACACACAAUGUGAGUAUUUUUGUAUUUUAACCUUUAUGUUCAUGAUAGCAUCUUGUGAUUUUCUUUUAAAUAUGUAUUUUAUUGCAGAUCUUACGUACUUAGCUUACUUACUAAGUACUUAAUUAGAAGUAUUUCUUUUAUUUUUUUGCAUUUUUUAUUGAAGUGUGGUUGAUACAUGUUAUUAUAUCGGUUUCAGGCGUGCAAUAUAGUGAUUUCACAAUUAUGUAAUUACAAAAUACUCACCACGAUAAGUAUAGUUGCCAUUGUCACCAUACAGUGUUAUUACAAUAUUAUUGAUUAUAUUCUCCAUGCUGUACUUUUCAUUUUUGUGACGUAUUUAUUUGUAACUGGAAGUGUGUACCCCUUGAUCCCCUUCACCUAUUUUGCCUAUCCUACCAUCCUCCUGCCCUCUGGCAACCACCAGUUUGUUCUCUGUAUGUAUGAAUCUAUCCCUGUUUGUUUGUUUGUUUGUUUGUUUAGUUGUUUUUUAGAAUCCACGUAUAAGUGGAAUCAUAUGGUAGUUGUCUUCUUCUUUCUGACUUACUUUAAUUGACAUAAUACCCUCUAGGUCCACCCAUGUUGUUACAAAUGACAAGACUUCAUUUCUUUUUUAUGGCUAAGUAGUAAUACUCCACUAUGCAUAUAUAUCACAUCUUCUUUAUCCCUUCAUUUAUCCGUGGACACUUAGGUUGCUUUCAUAUCUUGGUUAUAGCAAAUAAUGCUAACACUUAUCUUUUCAAAUUAGCAUUUUUGUUUUCUUUGGGUAAAAACCUCAUAGUAGGGUUAUAGGAUGAUAUGGCAUUUCUAUUUUUAAUCUUUUGAGGAAACUCCAUACUGUUUUCCACAAUGGCUGCCCCAAUUUACGUUCCCACCAACAGCGCAUAGGGUUCAUUUUUCUACAUCCUUGCCAAUAUUUGUUAUCUUCUGAUUUUUUGAUAAUAGCAAAAAUACUGCUAUUGCCUGUUAAUAUCCAUGGAACUUAGAGAAACAUUCUAUUCUCUACUCCUUUCAAUAUCCAUAGCAUCGUGUAUGUGUCCUAUUAUGAAACUUUAAAAUUUUGUAAUUAUUUCCAUGGUUGUCAUAUUUCUUAGUGGAGAAUGUAUCUUUUAAAAAGGUUUUUUUAAUGUUUAUUUAUGUUAGAGAGAGAACGAGAGGGAGAGGGAGAGCACCAGAGAGAGAGGGAGACAGAAUCCGAAGCAGGCUCUAGGCUCUGAGCUGUUAGCACAGAGCUCGAGGCAGGGCUUGAACUCAAGAACUGUGAGAUCAUGACCCCCACUGAGCUGCCCAGGGGCCGCUAGUGAAGAAUGUAUCUUAAUGCACGUGUGAGAGUUUUGGAUCUGUAUGAGAGACCCAAUUUUGCAUUAUGGUUCUGACAAGACGCAGGACCUUGGGCAACUCACUUUACCUUUCCCCAAGCCUCUGUCUCUUCUGAUAAAAAGUGGUUAAUAUUAUGUAUAUCCAACUCUUGAGAAAUAAUAUAGUAUCUGUAAAAGCACCUGGCACAGAGGCCAAAAGAUAUUGUUUCUUUUUUACAUCUAUUUUUCUUAGCUUCUUAAGUUGUAGAACCAAGUUUUGUGUUUCCUGUAAUUCAUCAUAGAAUAUUUAUUGGGUACUCAAAAAUACUAUUAAAUGAGAGAAUCUAUUCUAUGUUAAUACCAAAGACAUAAAAAUGUCACUUUCUUGCCUUUUUAACUUACCUUUAUUCUGGGGCAGUUGAUUAUUUUCCCUUGAUAAUUCUGUUUUACAACUUAUAUCUCUCUUCUGCACAAAGUAACAUUUGAUAGGUACUGCUACAGGGAGGAUUAGUUGCUCGUCCAAUUAUGAAUCUCAUUUAAGUUUAUACUGCCUUGUUACUUUGGCUCAAGCCAAUUCCAAAUCUGUAGAGAAAGAGUAAUGCUAUAUAUAUACAUCCUUUAGCAAAAUUGCUCUUUAUGACAAUUAUAUUCUUGAUGGGAAGAUAGGCAAAAAUAUAUGCCCAAUGAAUGACUAAGUUUAUGCAGUAAGUUCCUGUGAGAGCCCUGUUCCAUUUUCCCAGGCUUCGUUGUUCUCGGUAACCAUUGUCUCUUGCCAUUAACAAUCUCUUUAAAUGAUGUAUGGGGGCUGGGGAAAAAAAGGAAUAGGGCAUGAAAAUAUCCUGAAGAAUUUUUUAGAAAGAGGCUAACAGGCCAAGAACCUUGGCAUUAGUUUGGCUCUUAAAGGUCUAAAGAAGAGAUGCACAUCAGCAAACAUCAUGGGUGAAAUUAAUCAUAAGGCUAUGUGGGAGUGCUGAGCAGCUCCAGGAACCCUCUGGGCACUUAUACAGUUGCUUCGUAUCCCAGUGGUAAUGUCACCGGAGUUCAGCAGGACUUUCCCUAGUCUUGGGAACCUCCUUCCUUCUCAAUCAUCUGACAUUUAUCCUGCCUAAGAAGUGGGCUCUGAUUGGAUAUGUUUGCCAUUAUACAACAGCUUUCCUGGAGGGCACAGUUUUCUAGAAGUUGUCCGGAGUUGUUUGGUGUCUCCAGUGUCUGCCAUAUUCUCUGACUUGAGAAUAAUCACUUUGGAAAUGGGAAUAGGGAUUUGGGAGCCUUGUAGGUGGUUGGAGCCAUGAAAAGGGAAUAGUAUGAACAGAGGCAAAAAUUGCUGCAUGUAGCAUGUUUGGGGGGACAUCAAACAGUUCAUGUUGGUUAGUGAAAUGUUUCUCAGUUAGGGGUCUGUGAACUUCUAAGAGGCCAUGAAAGUGUUGUUAGGGCAGCUGUGAGUUCUCUUUAUGCAUUAAUAUAACUUUAGUUUAAUUGCAAUAAUAGCCCUAAAAUAAUGAACAUAAGCAUGUAUUUGACCAGAGAUGUGGCCACCUUAUAUAUAAUCUGCACUGAGCAGUGUAUACCAUAUUCAUGGUGGUGUGAGUUUAAUUAGAACAUCAUGAUUGAACACACAAAAUUGAUGUUAUUUGAAUUUUAUUGGUUUUGUAAGAUUAUUUGUAUUUAAUUCAUAAAUAAUUUUUGGUUUGUAGUGGUUUAAAAGCUAAGAGAAUGGGGUGCCUGGGUUGCUCAGUGGGUUGAGCAUCCAACUUCAGCUCAGGUCAUGAUCUCAUGGUUUGUGAGUUUGAGCCCUGUAUUGGGCUUGCAGCUGUCAGUGCAGAACCUGCUUCAGAUCCUCUGUCUCUCUCUCUCUCUCUCUCUCUCUCUCUCUCUGCACCUCUCCCACUCAUACACUCUCUCUCUCACACACACACACAAAACAUUAAAAAACUUAAUUUAAAAAAGUAAAAUCUAUGAGCAUAAGGAGGUUUUUUAUUUUUAUUUCUUACUAAGUUUUUGUUCACAUUUGAUAACAUUGUAAUGAAAUGAUUUAAUUCAACAUUGGGCACCUGAAAGAGUAUAUUAAAUGGGGCCCAUGUUCAUUAAGAGUGCACUUAUCAUGAUGAGCACUGGGUGAUGGAUGUAUGGAAUUGUUGAAUAUAGUACAAUAUAGUGAUAUUGUACACCUGAAACUAAUUAACACUGUAUGUUCGGUAUACUGGAAUUUAAAAAAAGGGUCCAUAUUUUACUCAUAUUUGAGAAACAAUUGGCUAGAGUAGGAGUUGGCAAACUCUGUGAAGAGUCAGAUAGUAAAUAUUUUAGGAUUUGCAGACCAAGAGGCAGAACUGAGGGCAUUAUAUUGGUGCUUAUAUAAUAACAAAGCAAAUUUCCAGAUUAAAAAAAUUUUUUAAUUAAACAAAAUUUAAGUUUAUUUAUUUGGAGACAGAGAGAAUGAGAGAGCACGAGUGGGGUAGGGGCAGAGAGAGAGAGAGAGAGAGAGGGAGAGAGAAUUCCAAGCUGGCUCCACACUGUCGGUGCAGAGCCAAUGUGAGGCUCAAACUCAUGAACCAUGAGAUCAUGACCUGAGCUGAAAUCAAGAGUUGCAUGCUUAACCUACUGAGCCACCCUCAUGCCCCUCCACAGGUUUUUUUUUUUUUUUUUAUUGAUGAAAUACAAACACCAAUGCUGUUGCUACUGCUGCUAAUAAUGAUGAUAAUAAUAUCUGAAUACAUUUUUUUUUUUUUUUGUAAUACAGGCCUACUAAUGAAAAGAAUGAAAUUUCUCUUUUGGGGAGGAUAACAUCUCAUUUAAUUGGGGUCCAAAGUUAGUGUUCCCUGUCAUCAAAUAGAUAAUAAACAUUCAUCUGUAAAAACAAUUGUGAGCUUGCAUGUUGUACAGAAACAGCCAGCAGGCCAGAUUUGACCUAUGGGCCAAGUUUAUUGACAUCUGAGUAAAGUAUAAGGUAUGUGUUGUGGGUGGAGAAAUUUAGUCAACCUCUCCACACUUAUUUUGUCUUCUGGAAGCUCUUCUAUAAACUGGGGGCAUUAAAAGUAGCAACCUUUAUGGGAUAUUGUAAAGAUUACAUAUGAUAAUUCAUAAGAAGUACCUUGAUCCCUGUCUUAUCAUCAUCCUUACAUUUCAGAGAAUAUUUUAUACUUACUUUGGAAAGUAAUAUAGGUCACUGGAGGAUUUUAAACAGGAAAUAAGCAACACUGGAGCUGCACUUUGGAAGAGUCAUCUGGCAACAGCAUGAGGGAUGGAUCAAGGCUGGGGCAGGAGGACAGUGAGGAGGCAGCUCACUAAAAUAUCUCUCAAUCCUAUCAUGGCUUCUUGAUACUUUUAUCCAUGUCGGUUUUAUCUACCCCAAGUGAGGGGCUGUGGGGGGAAGAAACUAAUUGUGGUAGACAGAGUAAUGGUUCCAAAGAUGCCCUUACUGUAAUCUAUGAAACCUGUGAAUAUGUUACCUUACAUGGAAAAAGAGACUUUACUGAUGUGAUUAAAGUUAAGUACCUUGAGAUGGGGAGAAUGUCCUGGAUUAUUAGGCCCAGUCUAAUCACAUGAGUCCUUAAAAUCAGAGAUACUUUCCCUGCUGUAGAAAACCAGAAGUAGCAAUGUGAGAAAGUCUUGGCCCACCAUUGCUGGCUUUGAAGAUGGAGGAAGGGGACCAUGAGCCAAGGAAGGUAAGCAGCUUCUAGAUGCCAGAAAAGGCAAGGAAACGCAUUUUCCCUAAGAGCUCCCUAGAAAGGAAUAUAGUCCUGCCAAUACCUUGAUGUUAACCCUGUGGGAUUUGUGUUGGAUAUCUGAACUAUAGAACUAUAAGAUAAUAAAUAAUGUUGUUUAAGCCACUGACUUUGUGGUAAGUUGUUAUGGCAGCAACAGAAAACUAACACACCGAUACUAUCCAGUUACACAUGAUAAUAAGAAAGUACAAUGAAAGACAAUUCCAGAUAAGUCUAUAUAUUUUAAUAUAAUUUAUUGUCAAAUUGGCUUACAUAAAACACCCAGUGCUCAUCCCAGCAAGUGCCCUCCUCAAUGUGUAUCACCCAUUUUCCCCUCUCCCCCCUCCCCCACUCCCCCAUCCACCCUCAGUUUGUUCUCUGUAUUUAAGAGUCUCUUGUGGUUUGCCUCCCUCCCUCUCUGUUUGUAAUUAUUUAUUUCCUCUUCCCUUCCCCCAUGGUCUUCUGUUAAGUUUCUCAAGAUCCACAUAUGAGUGAAAACACAUGAUAUCUGUCCUUCUCUGACUGACUCAAAUAAGUCUAAAUAUUAUGUUGCAUUCCAAGCACUUUCCUUUUUUUGGAACAUAAAGAUUAUUGUUUUUAUGAAGAUAGUUUUUCUUGACCCCAAUGAAUAAAUGACAAACCAAUAUUUAAGAAUAUUUGUUUGAAAGGCACCAAAUAUUGGCAUAUAUGAGAUCUCAGCUUGGAAACAUGUGGAGGUCUACCUAAGUUUGAUUCAAUAAAUUCUACCAGUACUUCAUGAGUACUUUAUUCCAGGUGGGGCUUUCAAAAAUGGCUAUUUUAUAGUCCCUGCUAACAAACUAGUGAUCCAUGAAUGAAUAUGAGUAAGGAUAUGAACCAGGUAUUACAAACUGAAUUCCUAAAUGUUCCUAGGAAGUGUGGAUGGUGCUAUAGCAGCUGACAUUCUUGCAGAUGACCCCACUGCUUGGUCUUGAAGGAUGAGCAGGAGUGAUUGGAGGAGGAAAGAUCCAAGGGUAGUCAAGCAGGGGUACUCAGUGCAUAGUGGGAUGAGUUUGCAGAGUCCUAGGCAGUCUUGGAGAGCUCUGACAAUGAGCUGGCCAGCUUGGAGCUUUCUCUUUCUCCUUUAGCCGUCACAGUUCUGUGGAGUUGAGUGGAAAAGAGGAGAGAUGUCUGGGCAGAAGGUCUUAUUCUCUAAAUCUUGCAUCUUGACUUAACAAGCUGCUUGGCCUGUCCCGCACUCUUUUCUUCCCACAUUGGUCCAUUCGACGUUUAGAAAAAUUGGAAAAAAAAUUAUUAUCUGUAGAAUAGCAGCAAAUGUGUUUUUCCCCCUGUCCUGUAGAGAGAAGGAAUAUUUAAUUAGUCUACCUGUGGGCCUAAUAAACAACAGGGAGUUAUCUCAGGAGGGGGGAGAAUUGAGGAUAGAGUAAACUGAAUGAUACUUAUACAUAUUCCACAAACUGACUGACAGAGUUGGGCCCGAGAUGGUGUGGAGGUAUGUCAGCACUUGGGGGAAAUGGGGAAAUUAAUGAGGCAGAGAUGGAAGGACAGAUCAUCUGGAUGGGGGAUGGUGAGGGCCUUCGUUAACCUUGAAAUUUGCUUCAGGGGAAGGCAUGUCCUGGAGGUUUCUUACCCAAGACUGUGAAUCCCAGACUUCGAACGGUGGAGAAAUUGCUAACCAUGAUAACUCAUUCAUUGUUGCAUCUCUUAGCUGAAUCGGUACUCAUAACUCAUAAAGCUGCCUCAUAGCAGUUUGCACGUAAGUCAGACACAUAGCUCACAAGAUAGCUUCUUGUGCUUUCAGGUUUCCGCAGGGUCUGGUUGGAGUCCACCUGGUUCCUGAGCAAAUCCUACUUUAGUAACAACAAAAUUCGAUUAAUCAUCAUCAUCGUCGUCGUCGUCAUCAUCAUCAGUAGCAGCAGCAGCAGACACCCAACAUUUCUCAAACAAAGAAUAGUUUACAAAUACCUUCAUGUGUGGGGAACCAUUUGCUCUUCUUCAACUGCCUUCUAUGGCCAGGCGGGGUAUGUAAGAAUGUUAUCAGGACACUGAGCCACUACCUGGUGUAGAUCAAUGCAAACUGUGAUGUCGUGUUCACUAUACCCUUAAAUGAGACCUAUACCUGAGGAAUCCUUUCUCGAGAUGGGCUCAGACAUUAUGGAUAUGAGAGGAAGUCUGCUGGCCUGGAGCAUGAAAACAGCAAGGAUUGAAAUAUAUAAGCAGAGAGAAGAAUUCUGUACGUUAGUGUUAUGUUUCUGAGUUUCUCCUGGGACGAGGGUGAUUCAUUAUAUAAACAGGGAUGAGAUCACAUGGGCCGAUCAGGAUCUACAAUAAAUCUUGAGACAACUCCGGGAAGGGUACUCUGUGGUGUUAGCAAUCAAAUGUAAGGAGACCACACCAUCCCCUUCUUAAGUAUCAACGGCAACAAAGUGAAAGCACACAGGUGUCUGAUUUGUUCUUUCUAAUUCGCUAUGAUGACUUGAGGAAGUGUGGCUGCCAAGUGCCGGCUCCUAGUGUGCAUAAAGGCAGUGAUUUCAUGAGAACUAUCAGAAGAUUAAAAAAUUCAAAGACGAAGGAUGACAAGAAAGAUGAACUGAACUAAAGUAAUUAGGUAAGUAUCUGUGAGUAACAGAAGCCUCAGGAUGGUUGUCCUGAGUUUUUGUUGUAAAGUACUUGUCUGCAAUAUUUUAAGGACUUAGUAGAAUUUUAUUUUAAAGCCAUGACAUUAGCACAGUUAAGCCAAUCAAUGUUUUUUAAUAGCCUUUUAAAGGUGCCUUUUUAAUUGUGCUCUGUGGGAGGGAAAGGCACAUGGAGACUGCAAAAACAUCUAAAAUGGCUUAGUCAGAUCUUUCAAAACUAUUUGCAAGUGCAAAUUUCUGGCUUGGUUUGAUUGCUGUAGAAGUGGGGUUAAAGUGCGAGAUCUAAAGGGCUUAUUCCCCAGGGAAAAAACAAAGACUUAGCUCUUGUGUACAUUCAUUCAGCUUGGCCCCAGAGCAAAAAUAUUUAGAAUCUGCACCAUUUUCCCUUUAGAGAUGCAAGAGAGUUGCGGUUUCUCUUAGAGGAGAAAUAGCUCUACGCGGAAUUUUUCCUGCCCACAUUGGGGCCCAGGAGGUCCAGAGAACACUCACGUUGCUCCUUCUAGCAGUCCUCUGACCUCCUGAAUGUUUGCCAGUGAUCGCUUCAGUUUUUUAUAGUUAGAAUGUGCCUAACAUCUGGAUGAAUAGCAAAAAGUACUGUUAACUUUCCAACUUGCUAUUUGGCGCAAUGCCCACGUUAUUGGCAGAACCAUCAUAGUUCAUUCCCCUUUCUUCAUAGCUUAGUUUUGUGUGAUGCUUUGUUGUUUAAAAAAUGCUUUCAUAUAUAUUAUCCUGUUGGGAGCCCAUGAUAGUCAUGUGAUACAAGGAAGCUAUUAUUAGUUUCUGUUUUAUAAAUGUAGAAACUAAAGCUUGGAAAUAUGGAGAGGUCUAUCCAAGGUCGGUUAAACAAAUUCAACCAGCAUUUCAUGAGUACUGUAGAAUGCUUUAUAUAUCCCAGGGGACUUUCAAAAAUGAUUAUUUUAUAGUUCCUGCAAACAAACUAGAAGCCACAUAUCUACCAUAUCUCACUUCUUCUCCAGUGCUAUUUCUAUGAAAUUACAUUGUCUCUUGCAUGGCAUGUGGACUUCUCUGAAGAAUUUACUUAAAAAAUUUUUUUUUAAUUUUUUCAUUUAUUUUCUUGAGUUUUACUGAGAUAUAAUUGAUAUACAGCACUGUAAAAGUUUAGCAUGUAUAGCAUAAUGACUUGACUUACAUAUGUUGUGUAAUGAUUACAUUAGCAAGAUAUAAAAAAAGAAAAAGAAAAAAAUGGAUUUUUCCUUGUGAUGAGAACUCAGAAUUUACUUUCUUAAUAAUUUGCACAUAUACCAUAUUGAUAAUUACAUUAAAUUUAUUUUAUUUUUUUAAUUUAAAUUUUUUUAAAUUUCCGUCCAAGUUAGUUAGCAUAUAGGGCAACAAUGAUUUCAGAAGUAGAUUCCUUAAUGCCCCUACCCAUUUAGCCCACCCCCUCUCCCACAACCCCUCCAGUAAACCCUCUGAACCCUCUGUUUGUUCUUCAUAUUUAAGAGUCUCUUAUGUUUUGUCCCCAUCCCUGUUUUUAUAUUAUUUUUGCUUCCCUUCCCUUAUGUUCAUCUGGUUUGUAUCUUAAAUUCCUCAUGUGAGUCAAGUCAUAUGAUAUUUGUCUUUCUCUGACUAAUUUUGCUUAGCAUAAUACCCUCUAGUUCCACCCACAUAGUUGCAAAUGCAAGAUUUCAUUCUUUUUGAUUGCCGAGUAAUACUCCAUUGUAUAUAUACCACAUCUUCUUUACCCAUUCAUCCAUUGAUGGACAUUUGGGCUCUUUCCAUACUUUGGCUAUUGUUGAUAGUGCUGCUAUAAACAUUGGGGUGCAUGUGCCCCUUCGAAUCAGCAUUUUUGUAUCCUUUAGAUAAACACCUAGUAGUGCAAUUGCUGGGUUGUAAGGUAGUUCUAUUUUUAAUUUUUUGAGGACCCUCCAUACUGUUUGGAGGGAAUGCAAGCUGGCUGCCCCAGUUUGCAUUCCCACCAACGGUGCAAAAGGGUUCCCCUUUCUCUGCAUCCUUGCCAACAUCUGUUGCUUCCUGAGUUGUUAAUGUUAGCCAUUCUGACAGCUGUCAGGUGGUAUCUCAUAGUGGUUUUGAUUUAUAUUUCCCUGAUGAUGAGUGAUGUUGAGCAUUUUUUCAUGUGUUGGAUGGCCAUCUGGAUGUCUUCUUUGGAGAAGUGUCUGUUCAUGUCUUUUGCCCAUUUCUUCACUGGAUGAUUUGUUUUUUGGGCGUUGAGUUUGAUAAGUUCUUUAUAGAUUUUGGAUACUAGCUCUUUAUCUGAUAUGUUGUUUGCAAAUAUCUUCUCUCAUUCUGUCGUUUGCCUUUUAGUUUUGCUGAUUGUUUCCUUCGCUGUGCAGAAGUUUUUAUUUUGAUGAGGUCCCAGUAGUUCAUUCUUGCUUUUGUUUCCCUUGCCUCCAGAUACGUGUUGAGUAAGAAGUUGCUGCAGCUAAUGUCAAAGAGGUUUUUGCCUGCUUUCUCUGCAAGGGUUUUUUUGAUGGCUUCCUGUUUUACAGUUAGGUCUUUCAUCCAUUUUGAGUUUAUUUUUGUGUAUGGUGUACAAAAGUGGUCCAGGUUCAUUUUUCUGCAUGUUGCUGUCCAGUUUUCCCAGUACCACUUGCUGAAGAGACUGUCUUUAUUCCAUUGGGUAUUCUUUCCUGCUUUGUCAAAGAUUAGUUGUCCAUACAUUUGUGUGUCCAUUUCUGGGCUCUCUAUUCUGUUCCAUUGAUUUGAGUGUCUGUUUUUGUGCCAGUACCAUACUGUCUUGAUGAUUACAGCUUUGUAAUACAGCUUGAAGUCUGACUUCUUUAAAAUUUUUCAAUCCAAGUAUUUGUUGAUUUGGAGUUGCAACAUAAUGACAGAGUGUGGUAUAGAUAAUUUGGGGAAAUGAAUUAACCAAUAGAAAAGAUUAUCUGGUCUUGCUUUUUUUUGGAUUAGUUUUAGAAAGAAGAGUGAUUUGGGGUAUUUGUUUUUCUAUGCAUUUCACUGCAGUGUUCAUCACAGUACUAUGUGCUGCUGUAUUGACCCGCUAUGAUCAGUUCCAACAAGAGGCCACGAAUAUAUGUACAAAAUGGAAGAAACUGAACAAGGUGGAGAGAUGGGUUGGAGAAGAUGGGAAGUGGCUCUGGGCUACCAUGGCUAUCUGUGACCAGGCAGGCACUACACCAGUACAUUUUAAUGCCUUUGUAUUUGUCCUUACACUUGGCUAGUCCUAUUAGUAAGUGACAUGCUUGAUGGUUUGUUGUUUACCUUAAUUUCCUAGAGAAAAGGUCUCUGAAAACUCUAAACUUUUCUGAGUGAAACUAAAAGAAACAGUUCCCCCCGCCCCCAUCACACUCCCACCCACCUGCCCUGCCUGCAUUUCUCAGUUUUGACUGAGGGUCCUGGAUGAAAAGUUUGUAGGAAGCAGAAAGUAGGGGGAUUAUCAGGGAUGGUGCUGUAUUGAAACCAAGGAAAGGAUGUAUUCUAGGGCAGAACAAUGUGGAGUAGUCUCACAGAGCUGAAUUGGCACACUAGCUCUGCUGUGAGAUCCUGAAGCACUUAAACCUUGUGAGACUCAGUUUCCUUACAGUAACAUUGAUCUAAUGAUGCCUAUUUUAAUUGGCUGUUUAAAGGUUUACAUGAAAUAACAUAUCUGUGAAGGGUCAAGAGGACUGUGUGGUAUACAGCAGGUACUCAGUCAUGGUAGCAGCUACUUCUACUACUCUUGUCACCCGCACUGCCACUAGAGCCAUCAGGUUGGAGAAAGCAAGAAACCAGGUUAGCUCUUGUCUGCCACUUUUCCAUUCUCUUGGAUCCUAUUAUUGGGGAUAGAAAGGGCAAGACUUCUUUCAACAAAACCAGUUAGAAACCCAUGACUCCAUUGUUUUAGCUAAAGAAGUCGGUCCUGCAAAGAUUUUACCAAUAGUAGUUUAAAACUGCUUUGGUCUGGGAGGCUACACCAGGCACUAGAAUUCUGAUUCCAGGUAUGUUCCCAACUGCAAUUCAACUGUUCAGCCAUUGUGAUGACAUGCCUUAGUUUUCUGAACUUCAGUUUGCCUUUUGCUAAAUGAGACUGGAACUAGAUCUCAAUCCAAUCAAAUUAGUAGAAAUGUUUGAGUAACAAAGGCCAAAUAGCAAAGGAUUUCUUGUGUAUUUCUUCUGCUCUCUUAUCUCCCACUUUUGCCACAAACACACACAUUCCAUUGCUCUUUUUACAAUAAAGGUUUUGAUACAGUGAAGACACAACUGGGGAGCCCAUGCGUCCAUUUGUUCACUUACUCAAGGACCCUUUCUGAGCACUUAUUACAUGUCAGGCAUUGACCUAUUUAGGGAAGUGCUUGGGCUCCCCCAGGCAUUGUAAUGGAGGGUGCAUGAAUCAUGGCUUCAUAUAUGAUCUGGCAGCAUAAGAACUUUGUAAGUGGAAACAGUGGGUCAGGAAGCAAGGAGGCAAAGUCAGUCUCUGCACAAUGAGAGAAUGAGCUUGGAAUGGUGCACUGUGAUCUGGGAACCUCAUUAUUAGCAAGUUGGAGACACACUGGAGAGUGUUCAGAGAAAAGCCACAAGGAUGAUAAACGGGCGGAAAGACUGAUUUAUGAAGACUUACACAACAAAAUAUGUAUUCUUGGAUCAACAAAGACUUCAGAAGAAAGUGAUCACUAUCAACAACUCUCUGAAGGUUGUGAAUUCCCCAGAGGCACCCCAGAGGUGUUUGCCUGAUAUGUGAAAUGUGACAAGGAAUCAGAAGAUGGCAAAUUUAACCUGUGGAUCAGGGAAAAACGAGAAAUAUAAAUCUAUCCAGGCCUUAUUGAUGGGAAGUAGCUUCCAAGGGCAAUAUCCUUAAUCUGUUUUAUCUCCUAUAUACAUUUCUGCAGUUGUAAUUAUGCAAAUCAUUUGUUGUUUCUUUAUGUUCAGGGGUUUUAUGUGUGUUUCCUAUUUACACACACCUUCCCUGAAGAUGUCAAGAAUGAAAUAUUUGAUUUUUUUUUGUAACCUUCCACUUCAAAGGCUUAAAGAUAAAAGCAGUUGAGUUAUGGACAAAUUGUUUUUUUAAACCAAAGUUUGCAUGCUUAACCUUUGUUGAAAGUCAUUGUCAUAAUGUGAAUUUUAUUCCUAUGAAAAGCCAGAUGGGUGACUCUUUACAAAACUGUCCCUCAGUGACCUGAUCAACAGUUUUACGCACACGCACACACACACACACGCAUACACAUGAUACACCAUAAAGCUUUCAAAGGAUAUAAAAUCAAUUUAAGGGCAGAAUCCAAUCCCAUGCAAUUUUAUGUAUUCGGGACUCCUGUGAGCACAGCAAUUUUAGCUAUGGGAUAGAGGUGCAAUACUUCAAGAAAAUAGCCCAAGUGAGACCUGGACCUAAGGUUUGGGCCACAGAAACCCUCUAAAGAGCUGGGUCCUAUGGACUGGCAGGGCUAUUUGCUCUCAGCGUUGCUCACGUCAGUGUCAGGACAUGGAACUGGGUCCAAUAGAAGACUAACAUUAUAUCUAUUAAAAUACUUUUUGGUCUCACAACCCUGGUUUCCACUGAUGAUCCAACCGGUUUCUGGGUGGUGAGUCUAUGUCUGGAUCAGGGCUGGGGUCGAGCACACAGCCAAGCUAAAACUGUGGGCUUGGUCCAUCUCCCUGGCCACCACAGUGGUUGGCUCAGGGGCAGGCCUGCGACCUGAGCUGGGACUCAAGGACAUUUUCUAAGAUGGUACAGCUCAGAUCUUCUCUUCAUGGCCAGGGCAACAUGAAGAUAUGAAAGCUGGAACUGCUGGGGUAAAUUUUGCUGUCAUGAUGGGGGCCGGCCUGAGAAGGAGGCCUGUGCACGGACCCAUGCAAAGCCAGAGGAAAAUCACAGGGGGUGGAGCCAGAGUCCUGCUGACAAAAUCCUAUCUGGCUGCCUAUCUCUGCUCUUUUCAGUUAUUAGCAUUAAUAAAUGCCCUUUCAUUAUUAACUGCUUUUGACCUGGGCUUUGGUGCCUUGUGGCAUAAAGAAUCCCAAUUACUAUUUGAAUAAGGGACCAGGUUGUAUGGUAGAGGUCAUGAUUUCUGUCUAAGUGUGGAGGAGAGAAGGUCCAUGUGAGCUGGGAGAUAGUUACAGCCAUCGUCGCAGGGUGGGGAGGAGGGAAUAGAAGGCAGGAGGUAACUAACAGUUGAGUGUCUCCUAGGUUCCAGACAUUGGGACUAGUCUUCACAGUCCACACCCAUGACCAAACUGUUCUUUUUGUCUCCUUAUCCUAUUUUGUAAGUGAGAAAACUAAGGCUUGGACUAGUGGAGCAACUUGCUCCAGUCAAGUGGGGGAGACAUAAAGAUUUGAUGAACCUGUGCUCUUCUCACGGCUCCUCGCUCUUUCAAGCCUACAGCUUGGGUUCCAGAUACCUGUGUGUCAGUCCCAGUUCUAGGUGUUCAGCCUUGGACAAGUCACCCAUGUUCUCUGUGCCUUCGUUUCCUCCCACGUAGCAUGGUGAUGAUGAUGCCCGCCUCUCAGAAGCAUUCUGGAGCUUCAUGUGUGGGAAGCCCUUGUGAGAGGUGAGUGUGAGGCAUUAUUCUUACUGGGAAAAGCUUCAGGGAGGAAAUAACACCUAGCCUGGGGACAGUAGUAGGGGUGGGUUUCUGUGGGGAGUUAGCAGGGGAAGGAUGAACUGAACAGAUGGCUGAGGCAAAGGCGUGGAACACAACUGAACUUUGGUCAUUUGUGCAAAAGAAAAGAAACCGCCCCAGCAGCUCCUGAUGUGAAGCUUUGGGGAAUAAGUUCCAGGGCAGUGUUCCUUUAUUUGUUUGUUUAUUUGUUCAUUUAUCUUUCCACUUAUUCAAGGAGAAAUAUACUCUCAUAACUCCAUUAACUUUCUUCCUCUUGCCUAAGUGCUAGUAGUCUACUGAAGUCACUCAAUAUGUGUAAUUUCCCUAGCUUCUGUAUCCCACGUGGCUUUCUUUCUCUCCUCGACACUUUCAUCCUUAUUUAAUGAUAUAGAUAUUUAUAUAUCAAUAUAUAAAUAUUAAUAAAUAUAUCUCAUUAUGUGUAUUUGUACAUAAACAUAUAUUUAAUUAAAAAUAAAAAAAUAUUUUAACCUUUUGAUCUCCUUCACUGAUUUCUCUUACCUCCCAUCUCUGACAACCACCAAUUUGUUUUUUCUGAGUUUAUUUAUUUUUAUUUUUUUUAUAUUCCACAUCUAGUGGAGAUCAUACAGUAUUGGUCUUUGUCUGACUUAUUUAACUUAGCAUAAUGCCCUUGAGAUCCAUGCAUGUUGUCACAAAUGGCAAGAUUUCAUUCUUUUUUAAUGGCUGAAUAAUACUUCAUUGUGUGUGCAUAUAUAUACACACACACAUAACAUAUAUACCCAUAUGUAUAUAUGCACACAUAUAUACAUAUAUACUAUAUAUACAUACAUGUGUGUAGAUAGACAUAUAUGUCUAUAGAUAGAUACACAUUAAAUUUUCCUUAUCCAUUCAUCCUUUGAUGGCCACUUAGGUUGUUACAUAUCUUGGCUAUUGUAAAUAAUGCUGCAGUGAACAUGGGGCUGUGUAUAUCUUUUCAAGUUAGUGUUUUCAUUUUCUCCAGAUAAAUGCCCAGAAGUGGAAUUGCUGGAUCACAUGGUAGUUGUAUUUUUAAUAUUUUGAGGAACUUCCAUACUGUUUACCAUUGUGACUAUGCCAAUUUACAUUCUCACCAACAGUACACAAAGGUUCCCUUUUUUCCACAUUCUUGCCAACACUUGUUAUCGCUUGUCUUUUUGAUUCUAACUGGUGUGAGGUGACAUCUUAUUAUGGUUUUGAUUUGCAUUUCCCUGAUGACUGACGAUGUUGAGCAUCUUUUCAUGUGUCUGUUGGCCUUCUGUAUGUCUCCUUUGGAAAAAUGUCUAAUCAGAUCUUAUGCUCAUUAAAAAAAUUUUUUUUUAACAUAUAUUUAUUUUUGAAAGACAGAGAGAGAGAGCACAUGCAGGGGAGAAGGAGAGAGAGAGGGAAACACAGAAUCCCAAGCAGGCUCUAGGCUCUGAGCUGUCAUCACAGAGCACGAUGCAGGGCUCAAGCUCACAAACCACGAGAUCAUGACCUGAUCUGAAAUCGUAUGCUUAACCGACUGAACCACCCAGGCACCCCUCUUUUGCUCAUUUUUAAAUUGCAUUGUUUGUUUUUUGCUAUUGAGAUGUAUGAGUUCUUUAGAUAUUUUGGAUAUUAACCCCUUACCAGAUAUAUGACUUGGAGAUAAUUUCUCCCAUUUAAUAGGUUGCCUUUUUAUUUUGUUGGUGGUUUCUUUUGCUGUGCAGAAGCUUUUUUGUUUGAUGUAGUCUCACUAUUUACUCUUGCUUUUGUUGCUUCGACUUUUGGUGUCAGAUUAAAAAAAUCAUCUUCAAGACCUAUGUCAAGGAGCUUCUGCCUAUGUUUUUUUCUGGGAGUUUAUGGUUUCAGGUCUUACAUUCAAGUCUUUAAUCCAUUUUGAGUUAACUCUUUCGUGCAUAUGUUAUAAGAUAGUAAUUGGUUUCAUUCUUUUGUCUAUGGCCGUCCAGUUUUCUCAACACCAUUUAUUGAAGAGACUGUAUUUCCCCAUUGUGUAUUCUUGGCUCCUUUGUUGUAAAUUAAUUGACCAUGUAUGCAUGAGUUUAUUUCUGGGCUCUCUAUACUGCUCCAUUGAUCUAAGUGUCUGUUAUGCCAAUAUCAUAAUGUUUUAAUUAUUAUAGCUCUGUAAUAGGAUUUGAAAUAAGGGAGCAUGAUGCCUGAAGCUUUCUUCUUUCUCAAGGCUGCUUUGGUUAUUCAGGGUCUUUAUCUUUAUCUCAUAUGUACUAUAUAUUUUUAUAUUUUAUUUAUUUAAAUUUAAAAAAAUGUUUAUUUACUUUUGAGAGAGAGACAGAGUGCAAGCAGGGGAGGGGCAGGGAGAGAGGAAGACACAGAAUCCGAAGCAGGCUCCAGGCUCUGAGCUAUCAGCACAGCUGACAUGAACCAUGAGAUCAUGCCUGAACCAAAGUCAAACACUUAACUGACCGAGCCACCCAGGCGUCCCUAUAUUUUAUUUAUUUAGUUUGUCCCUCUGUUUCUUCCAUUGGACUUCAAGCUCCCCAAGGGCAAGGACUCCCCCCCCCCCAACCCAUUUUGUUUGCAGUUAUAUCCCAGUACCUUGAACAGUGUCUGGCACAUAGUAGAUAUGCAAUAAAUAUUUGUUGAAUCAAAGAACCAUUUUUAUAUCUAUCCUAUCUGUGGUGGGCCAUACAUGGAUAUCAUCUGAAAGAGAAUCCUCCUUUCCACUGAUCUUCUCACACAAAGAGUUUAAGAAUUGUCAAGAAACAUUUUUCUCCUCAUCCUGUCAGUCCAUCUAGCUCCAUCUUAGAAGAGGAUGCGUCUCCUUUUUAUGGAUCCUCUUUCACUUCUUCUCAAAAUCCCAUUGACCUAUUUCUAACCCUCUGUCUUUUCCUGCCUGGGUGCUGAGUUCAUCUUGGAGGGUUUAUAUCAGUGUUUUUGAGGUCCUGUCCUCCUAUCUUUCAAAGUCUUCAGGGUGUCACAUCUACAAGACAAACUUUCCCCCCUGCUAAUGCUGAUCUUCUUCUCUUGGGGCCUAACUUUGAUGUACCAAUGUAUUCUCAAAGUCUCUUUUUCUUGGCUCCUUUCAAAGGCAACUUCCUUUCAAGGAGAGGAUGAAGAAGACCAGGAAAGAAGGGACAAAAUGAAAAAAAGAACACUUCACCCUGUCUUACAUGUAUUCCCAAUUCCUUAAUUAAGAGAGGAGAUAAAAAUUGAACUCUUGAUUUGUCUUAAUUGGGCUGAGAAAGCAUAUCUGGCAACAGACCUAUUAUUGGAAUCACUAAUUUUAUUUCUCUCACUCUUACCUUCCUUUUGAUUUAAUGAUACCUAUACUAAAUAAUGGGCAGAGAUACACUGGAAUAUUUCUACUGGUGCAAUGGCUAAAAUAUUACAACAAACAAACAAAAUACCUAUUUAUAUCUACUCUGCUCAUAUUUCUUAUACUAGGUAAAACCUUGUUAAUUUUACUGAUUUAUUUUUACUAGGUGACUCACAGUUUCGCAUCAAGUCUUUUUAAUUAAAAUAUCUAUUUUGGGCAAAUGAAAACAUACAAUCAAGAAGGUGGUCUUAAUUGAAGAAUAGCUGAAAGUAAAUCAGUAAAGCAGCAAACUCACUGUUUUGUGUAUUCAUUUAUUCCAAUCCCUUACAAUUUCAGUUGGAAAUUUCAAAGAACCAUAGAGUAAGAGAUGGACAAAUGCUAUUAAGUCACAGUAUCUGUUCUUUGCCAAUAUUCUCUCUUUUUUUAAAAAAAAUAUAAUUUAUUGUGAAGUUAGCUAGCAUGCAGUGUGUACAGUGUGCUCUUGGUUUCGGGAGUAGAUUCCCAUAAUCCAUUGCUUUCAUACAACACCCAGUGCUCAUCCCAACAGGUGCUCUCCUCAAUGCCCAUCACCCAUUUUCCCCUCUCCUCCCCCUCCAAUCAACCCUCAGUUUGUUCUCUGUAUUUAAGAGUCUCUUAUGGUUUGCCUCCCUCUCUGUUUGUAACUAUUUUUUCCCCUUCCCUUCUCCUAUGGUCUUCUGUUAAAUUUCUCAAAUUCUACAUGAGUGAAAACAUAUGAUAUCUGUCUUUCUCUGACUGACUUAUUUCACUUAGCGUAAUACCCUCCAGUUCCAUCCACAUUGUUGCAAAUGGCAAGAUUUCAUUCUUUCUCAUUGCCAAGUAGUAUUCCAUUGUAUAUAUAAACCACAUCUUCUUUAUCCAUUCAUCAGUUGACGAACAUGGGCUGUUUCCAUAAUUUGGCUGUUGUUGAUAGCAUGCAGCUCCUGUCUUGAUGCCUUUUCUGCUCUGGAUAGAGUUAACAGAUAGUUCCUAUGUGGCAUUUAGGCUAGAUCCUUCUAUGUGGGAGUGGAAAAACACCCAUUUCUAGGCAUCUGCUUUGUGGCCAAGGUGCUCUGACUUGGUGAUUCUUCCUGGAGGCCAAGGUUGCCGGUGUGGUUUCAGGGUUCCCUUGGUGAAAGAGAGCCCGGUGUCACGCUUUGGUCAGCAAUAAACCACCAUGUGAUAAACAAGGUGAUGUGAUGAUUCUGUUCACUCCUUGGUGCUGCCAAACCUGGGGCAAAUCUCACCAGUGCAGGCUUCCUGGAAGACAUUUAGUGUUUCCUGCUUCUGGCUGGAAACCCGGAGGAUG